AAUGAACGCUGGCGGCAGGCCUAACACAUGCAAGUCGAACGGGUCCUUCGGGACUAGUGGCGGACGGGUGAGUAACGCGUGGGAACGUGCCUUUUGGUUCGGAAUAGCCCCGGGAAACUGGGAGUAAUACCGGAUGAGCCCCCCCAAUCAAAUUCCAUUUGAUUGAAUUUUCGAUCUUAUCAAAUUCCGGAUGGAAUUUGAUGGGGGGGGAAAGAUUUAUCGCCAAAAGAUCGGCCCGCGUUGGAUUAGGUAGUUGGUGGGGUAAUGGCCUACCAAGCCGACGAUCCAUAGCUGGUUUGAGAGGAUGAUCAGCCACACUGGGACUGAGACACGGCCCAGACUCCUACGGGAGGCAGCAGUGGGGAAUCUUAGACAAUGGGGGAAACCCUGAUCUAGCCAUGCCGCGUGAUCGAUGAAGGCCUUAGGGUUGUAAAGAUCUUUCAGAUGGGAAGAUAAUGACGGUACCAUCAGAAGAAGCCCCGGCUAACUCCGUG
rnacentral:rRNA from 1 species